GGGAAGAGUAUCUGAAAAUGGCCACCUUUAAUUACCGGCUGAGCCGUGCCAGACGGCUCAUAGAAAAUGCAUUUGGGAUCAUGGCCAGCAGGUGGCGAAUUCUAUGAAGAGCAUUUCGGGCCUCGGAAGAAACAACAAAAAAUAUUGUGAAGGCGUGCGUGGCUUUGUACAACUUUCUGCUCAAGAAUUCUGGCAUGUCAAGGUCAGCGUACAAUCCUCCGGGCUAUGUGGACAGCGAGGACUGGCAGGGAAAUCUCACAGAUGGGUCAUGGAGAAAUGACGACAGGGGGCUGCCGUUGAGGGACAUGGCGGGCCUGGGGUCCCACUCUCCCGGGACUGCUUUGGCAGUACGGAACCGACUGGCCACAUACUUCCUCAACGAUGGAAAGGUCCCGUGGCAAGAAAGAAUCGUAACUCGAGCGGGACAGCAGGAAACAACGCAAGUACCGGGAUGAUGGCACUUGGUCAGCUGGCCUCUUGGCUGAUCUGGGCAAACCAAAGGAAGCAAAUCAGCCAGGACGUACAAGAAUAUUGAAGACAUGAUUUUCUUACCGUGAAGGACCUACAUCGCCUCCCCUUGCCUGGGUGUUCAUGGAUGCUGCAAAAUAAAGGCAGUCUGUGAAUUUGUGCUUCAGUAUUGUAAGAGGAGUAUGCAGUGCAUCUUGCAGCACCAAUAAAGGAUUGAGA